AUUGAACGCUGGCGGCAGGCUUAACACAUGCAAGUCGAGCGGGGUGAUGGUGCUUGCACUAUCACUUAGCGGCGGACGGGUGAGUAAUGCUUAGGAAUCUGCCUAUUAGUGGGGGACAACAUCUCGAAAGGGAUGCUAAUACCGCAUACGUCCUACGGGAGAAAGCAGGGGAUCACUCGUGACCUUGCGCUAAUAGAUGAGCCUAAGUCGGAUUAGCUAGUUGGUGGGGUAAAGGCCUACCAAGGCGACGAUCUGUAGCGGGUCUGAGAGGAUGAUCCGCCACACUGGGACUGAGACACGGCCCAGACUCCUACGGGAGGCAGCAGUGGGGAAUAUUGGACAAUGGGGGGAACCCUGAUCCAGCCAUGCCGCGUGUGUGAAGAAGGCCUUAUGGUUGUAAAGCACUUUAAGCGAGGAGGAGGCUCUUUUGGUUAAUACCCAAGAUGAGUGGACGUUACUCGCAGAAUAAGCACCGGCUAACUCUGUGCCAGCCGCCGCCGUAA
rnacentral:rRNA from 1 species